rnacentral:rRNA from 1 species
UACGUAGGGUGCAAGCGUUAAUCGGAAUUACUGGGCGUAAAGCGUGCGCAGGCGGUUAUGUAAGACAGGUGUGAAAUCCCCGGGCUUAACCUGGGAACUGCAUUUGUGACUGCAUAGCUAGAGUACGGUAGAGGGGGAUGGAAUUCCGCGUGUAGCAGUGAAAUGCGUAGAUAUGCGGAGGAACACCGAUGGCGAAGGCAGUCCCCUGGGCCUGUACUGACGCUCAUGCACGAAAGCGUGGGGAGCAAACAGG